AUCGCUUCUCGGCCUUUUGGCUAAGAUCAAGUGUAGUAUCUGUGGCUGAUCCCAGUCGACCUGCGAGCCCCAGUCUCU
ensembl:snRNA U2 U2 spliceosomal RNA